rnacentral:tRNA from 1 species
CUUAGGGUAGUAAAAGAGAAUUACGGCAGUUUUUCGUAUUGCAGUUGGCUUUGGUCCUCUAAGU